UACGUAGGGACCAAGCGUUGUUCGGAUUUACUGGGCGUAAAGGGCGCGUAGGCGGCGCGGCAAGUCACUUGUGAAAUCUCUGAGCUUAACUCAGAACGGCCAAGUGAUACUGCAGUGCUAGAGUGCGGAAGGGGCAAUCGGAAUUCUUGGUGUAGCGGUGAAAUGCGUAGAUAUCAAGAGGAACACCUGAGGUGAAGACGGGUUGCUGGGCCGACACUGACGCUGAGGCGCGAAAGCCAGGGGAGCAAACGGG
rnacentral:rRNA from 1 species